rnacentral:rRNA from 1 species
AGCAGCCGCGGUAAUUCCAGCUCCAAUAGCGUAUAUUAAAGUUGUUGCAGUUAAAAAGCUCGUAGUUGAAUUUCGGGAUCAAUACGUCGGUCGUGCUUCGGUACGUACUGGCGUCAUUGGUUUCUCCCUUCUGACGAACCAUGAUGUCAUUAAUUUGGUGUUAUGGGAAAUCAGGACUGUUACUUUGAAAAAAUUAGAGUGUUUAAAGCAGGCUCACGCUUGAAUACAUUAGCAUGGAAUAAUGAAAUAGGACGUUCGAUCCUAUUUUGUUGGUUUCUAGGAUCAACGUAAUGAUUAAUAGGGAUAGUUGGGGGCAUUAGUAUUCAAUUGUCAGAGGUGAAAUUCUUGGAUUUAUUGAAGACUAACUACUGCGAAAGCAUUUGCCAAGGAUGUUUUCAUUAAUCAAG